CCAGAGUAUCAAUUGGAGGGCAAGUCUGGUGCCAGCAGCCGCGGUAAUUCCAGCUCCAAUAGCGUAUAUUAAACUUGUUGCAGUUAAAAAGCUCGUAGUUGAAUUUCUGCUGUUUCGUUGACUGCGUUUGGCGUUUGUCAUCGUUGCGGCUUGGUUGGGUUUCGAUUAUUCGUUUCCCGGCGUUUACUUUGAGAAAAUUAGAGUGCU
rnacentral:rRNA from 1 species